rnacentral:rRNA from 1 species
CAUGUAGGCGGCUUAAUAAGUCGAGCGUGAAAAUGCGGGGCUCAGCCCCGUAUGGCGCUGGAAACUGUUAGGCUUGAGUGCAGGAGAGGAAAGGGGAAUUCCCAGUGUAGCGGUGAAAUGCGUAGAUAUUGGGAGGAACACCAGUGGCGAAGGCGCCUUUCUGGACUGUGUCUGACGCUGAGAUGCGAAAGCCAGGGUAGCAACG